UUCUCUUUCGCCUUUUUUGUUUUCUUUGUACAGCACAGCAAUUGAAGACCCUGAAGUCACCAUGAAAACCACUUUCGUAUUCCUCCUGCUUGUUUUCUCCAUCGUCGCGAUGGAGGCCGCCGUCGCGCUUCCAGCUUCACUGAAGCAUUUCGCACGUGUCUACAGAGGUGCAGGCUCACGUCAGCUGUCAAAGAGAUGGCGUCAGGCAUGCCUCAACCUCGAGACUGGAGAGUUAAAGUACUGUGAAAUGCCAACUGAAAGUGGGUAACGCAGAUGAGGAAGCUACUGCGAGAAAACCUGACUGUCAUGGAUAUUGGAGACACUUCUUGAAUACGAGUUGGAUGCUCUGAAAAAUAAAAGUUACAAGUAUGUAA